GUUUUUUGUUUAAUACAUUUGGCCAAAAUCUCAUAAAAUAAAAGAUUAAGUGCUAUACACAGGAUAUAUAAAACAGUAUAUAGUUACACCUUUAUGUCAAAUACUAAGACUCUUCUCUGCUCUUCAAACACACAGAAAACAUUUGCCUUUGUAGACAUGGUGUUUCUUGAGUAAUGAAAACGCUGUACUUAUUACUCUGAUUUAAAAAAACAAAAAAAACAAUUAUACAUCCCAUAUAUACACUGUUAGAAAUGUCUGUAAAUUGAACAGUAUUUAACUGUAAAAUUAACUGUAUUUUACUGUAGGACAGUUAUACAGCAUGUUACUGUAUUUUAAAGUUACAUUUUGGGAAAUAUCCCCUUGGCGCCACUAAAAUACAGUAUUUUUGAUUUACUGUAAAUCUAAAUACAGUAAAAAAAAAAAAAAAAAAAAAAAAAAGCGCGAAACCUGACCAAUCACAGAAAAGCUUUUAUUUCCCGCUUGGAGAAAGAAGAAAACGAAGACACACAGAUGCGAGGAGAACCAGUCAGAUGCAAAGGUUUGACCACGUCAGGAGCUGGUUCAUUGUGAGGAUUAACCCUGACAACAGCAAGUGCUCCUCAAAGUUCCAGGUCAGCAAAAGAAGUGGGAAGAUGCAUGGUGCAAAGGAUGAACUCUGGCCUGAACCCUCAUGUAUCCUCCUUUAUUAAGGAGUUUCUGGAUUUCAGCUGGCAAAACUAUUAUAAACUACUAUAAGCUACUAAGAGCAAAUAUGUUCUACACAGGAGUUUUCUGAAUUUGUAUAUUUUUAAGAUUGUUCUUAUGACUGAAUCUGUUCAUGUCUGUUGUUUUAAAAUGCUCUUAAUAUGAAACUUUUAUGUAUAAAUGAAAUGUUUUCAAGUUUUUGGAAAACUGAAAGUACAAUCUGCAAGAAUAUUAAAAUGUUAUUUCAAGUAUUACAAUUGAACAAUUAAAUCAAUAAAAGAAGUUAAACAGUAUUUUGUUUCUUUUUA
ensembl:lncRNA